rnacentral:rRNA from 1 species
AAAGAUUAAGCCAUGCAUGUCUAAGUACAUGCCGAAAUAAGGCGAAACCGCGAAUGGCUCAUUAAAUCAGUUAUGGUUCCUUAGAUCGUUUCUUCCUACUUGGAUAACUGUGGCAAUUCUAGAGCUAAUACAUGCAGUGAGCCUGGAGCCCUUUGGGUAACGGGUGCUUUUAUUAGACCAAGAUCGAUCGGGUUUCGGCCCGUAUUGUGUGGUGACUCUGGAUAACUUUGUGCUGAUCGCAUGGCCACGAGCCGGCGACGUUUCUUUCAAGUGUCUGCCUUAUCAACUUUCGAUGGUAGGUUACUUGCUUACCAUGGUUGUUACGGGUAACGGAGAAUCAGGGUUCGAUUCCGGAGAGGGAGCCUGAGAAACGGCUACCACAUCCAAGGAAGGCAGCAGGCGCGCAAAUUACCCACUCCCGGCACGGGGAGGUAGUGACGAAAAAUAACAAUACGGGACUCUUUUGAGGCCCCGUAAUUGAAAUGAGUACACUCUAAAUCCUUUAACGAGGAUCAAUUGGAGGGCAAGUCUGGUGCCAGCAGCCGCGGUAAUUCCAGCUCCAAUAGCGUAUACUAAAGCUGCUGCGGUUAAAAAGCUCGUAGUUGGAUCUCAGUUCCAGACGAGUAGUGCAUCUACCCGAUGCGACGGCUCGGACUGAACAUCAUGCCGGUUCUUUCUUGGUGCACUUCAUUGUGUGCCUCGAGAUGGCCGGUGCUUUUACUUUGAAAAAAUUAGAGUGCUCAACGCAGGCGAGUCGCCUGAAUAAACUUGCAUGGAAUAAUAGAACAAGACCUCGUUUCUGUUCUGUUGGUUUUUGGAAUACGAGGUAAUGAUUAAGAGGGACGGACGGGGGCAUUCGUAUUGCGGCGCUAGAGGUGAAAUUCUUGGACCGUCGCAAGACGAACUACUGCGAAAGCAUUUGCCAAGAAUGUUUUCAUUGAUCAAGAACGAAAGUCAGAGGUUCGAAGGCGAUCAGAUACCGCCCUAGUUCUGACCAUAAACGAUGCCAACCAGCGAUCCGCCUGAGUUACUCAAAUGACUCGGCGGGCAGCUUCCGGGAAACCAAAGUAUUUGGGUUCCGGGGGAAGUAUGGUUGCAAAGCUGAAACUUAAAGGAAUUGACGGAAGGGCACCACCANGAGUGGAGCCUGCGGCUUAAUUUGACUCAACACGGGAAAACUUACCCGGCCCGGACACUGGGAGGAUUGACAGAUUGAGAGCUCUUUCUUGAUUCGGUGGAUGGUGGUGCAUGGCCGUUCUUAGUUGGUGGAGCGAUUUGUCUGGUUAAUUCCGAUAACGAACGAGACUCUAGCCUAUUAAAUAGGUGCGGGGUUCCCAGCACCUUACAACCUUCUUAGAGGGACAAGCGGCUCCUANCCGCACGAAACAGAGCAAUAACAGGUCUGUGAUGCCCUUAGAUGUCCGGGGCCGCACGCGCGCUACACUGAAGGAAGCAGCGUGUCUUUAUCCCUGUCUGAAAAGACUGGGUAACCCGUGGAACUUCUUUCGUGAUUGGGAUAGGGGCUUGCAAUUGUUCCCCUUGAACGAGGAAUUCCCAGUAAGCGCGAGUCAUAAGCUCGCGUUGAUUACGUCCCUGCCCUUUGUACACACCGCCCGUCGCUACUACCGAUUGAAUGAUUUAGUGAGGUCUUCGGACCGAUGUCCGGCGCGGCCUUUCGGUUGCGCCGGUCUGUUGGAAAGAUGACCAAACUUGAUCAUUUAGAGGAAGUAAAAGUCGUAACAAGGUU